ensembl:snoRNA
UGGAUUGAUGAUGAUUACUGGUGGCGUACCAGUCGUGUAUGAUGAAUACAUGUCUGGAACUCUGAGGUCCGA